AUUGAACGCUGGCGGCAGGCCUAACACAUGCAAGUCGAACGAGUGGCGGACGGGUGAGUAAUGUCUGGGCAACUGCCUGAUGGAGGGGGAUAACUACUGGAAAAGGUAGCUACUCCCGCAUACCAUCAGAUGUGCCCAGAGUGGUUUAGCUUGUUGGUGGGGUAACGGCUCACCAAGGCGACGAUACCUAGCUGGUCUGAGAGGAUGACCAGCCACACUGGAACGGAGACACGGUCCAGACUCCUACGUGAGGCAGCAGUGGGGAAUAUUGCACAAUGGGCGCAAGCCUGAUGCAUCAAUGCCGCGUGUAUGAAGAAGGCCUUCGGGUUGUGGAGUACUUUCAGCGGAGAGGCGUUACCCGCAGAAGAAGCACCGGCUAACUCCGUGCCAGCAGCCGCGGUAAUAC
rnacentral:rRNA from 1 species